AAUGGUGAUGAAACUUCAAUUAAAAAAUAAAAGUGUCUUUAUAAGCAGAGUCAGGCCUGGUUAGUACUUGGAUGGGAGACCAUCUAGGAAGACCGGGUGCUAUAGGCA
rnacentral:rRNA from 1 species